AUUGAACGCUGGCGGCAUGCCUUACACAUGCAAGUCGAACGGUAACAGGUCUUCGGAUGCUGACGAGUGGCGAACGGGUGAGUAAUACAUCGGAACGUGCCCGAUCGUGGGGGAUAACGAAGCGAAAGCUUUGCUAAUACCGCAUAAGAUCUACGGAUGAAAGCAGGGGACCGCAAGGCCUUGCGCGAACGGAGCGGCCGAUGGCAGAUUAGGUAGUUGGUGGGAUAAAAGCUUACCAAGCCGACGAUCUGUAGCUGGUCUGAGAGGACGACCAGCCACACUGGGACUGAGACACGGCCCAGACUCCUACGGGAGGCAGCAGUGGGGAAUUUUGGACAAUGGGCGAAAGCCUGAUCCAGCCAUGCCGCGUGCAGGAUGAAGGCCUUCGGGCUGUAAACUGCUUUUGUACGGAACGAAAAGACUCUGGUUAAUACCUGGGGUCCAUGACGGUACCGUAAGAAUAAGCACCGGCUAACUACGU
rnacentral:rRNA from 1 species